GACGAACGCUGGCGGCGCGCCUAACACAUGCCAGUCGAACGAGCGAGAGAGAGCUUGCUUUCUUGAGCGAGUGGCGAACGGGUGAGUAACGCGUGAGGAACCUGCCUCACAGAGGGCGACAACAGUUGGAAACGACUGCUAAUACCGCAUAAGCCCACGGUGCCGCAUGGCCCUGACGGAAAAGUAGCAAUCCGCUUUGAGAUGGCCUCGCGUCCGAUUAGCUAGUUGGUGAGGUAACGGCCCACCAAGGCGACGGUCGGUAGCCGGACUGAGAGGUUGAGCGGCGACAUUGGGACUGAGACACGGCCCAGGCUGCGACGGGAGGCAGCAGUGGGGAAUAAUGCACAAGGGAGGAAACGCUGAUGCAGCGGCGCCGCGUGGAGGAAGAAGGUCUUCGGAUUGGAGACUCCUGUUGUUGGGGAAGAUAAUGACGGUACCGAACAAGGAAGUGACGGCUAACUACGUG
rnacentral:rRNA from 1 species